AUUGAACGCUGGCGGCAGGCCUAACACAUGCAAGUCGAACGGUAGCAGGAAGAUGCUUGCUUCUUUGCUGACGAGUGGCGGACGGGUGAGUAAUGUCUGGGAAACUGCCUGAUGGAGGGGGAUAACUACUGGAAACGGUAGCUAAUACCGCAUAACGUCGCAAGACCAAAGAGGGGGACCUUCGGGCCUCUUGCCAUCGGAUGUGCCCAGAUGGGAGUGGCUAGUAGGUGGGGUAACGGCUCACCUAGGCGACGGUCCCUAGCUGGUGCGAGGGGGUGACCAGCCACAGUGAGACUGAGCCACGGUCCUGAGUCCGAGGGAAGGCAGCGGUGGGGAAUAUUGGACGAUGGGCGCAAUCCUGAUGCAGCCAUGGCGCGUGGAUGAAGAAGGCCUUCGGGUUGUAAAGUACUUUCAGCGGGGAGGAAGGGAGUAAAGUUAAUACCUUUGCUGAUUGACGUUACCCGCAGAAGAAGCACCGGCUAACUCCGUG
rnacentral:rRNA from 1 species